rnacentral:rRNA from 1 species
CCUACGGGAGGCAGCAGUGAGGAAUAUUGGUCAAUGGACGCAAGUCUGAACCAGCCAUGCCGCGUGAGUGAAGAAGUAUUUCGGUACGUAAAGCUCUAUCAGCAGGGAAGAAAAUGACGGUACCUGACUAAGAAGCCCCGGCUAACUACGUGCCAGCAGCCGCGGUAAUACGUAGGGGGCAAGCGUUAUCCGGAUUUACUGGGUGUAAAGGGAGCGUAGACGGCAGCGCAAGUCUGGAGUGAAAUCCCAUGGCUUAACCAUGGAACUGCGUUGGACACUGUGCAGCUAGAGUGCAGGAGAGGUAAGCGGAAUUCCUAGUGUAGCGGUGAAAUGCGUAGAUAUUAGGAGGAACACCAGUGGCGAAGGCGGCUUACUGGACUGUAACUGACGUUGAGGCUCGAAGGCGUGGGGAGCAAACAGGAUUAGAUACCCCUGUAGUC